rnacentral:tRNA from 1 species
GCCGGAGUGGCGAAACCGGUAGACGCAGCAGACUUAAAAUCUGCCGAUGCCAUGCAUCGUACGGGUUCGAGUCCCGUCUCCGGCACCC